rnacentral:rRNA from 1 species
UACGAAGGGUGCAAGCGUUACUCGGAAUUACUGGGCGUAAAGCGUGCGUAGGUGGUUUGUUAAGUCUGCUGUGAAAGCCCCGGGCUCAACCUGGGAACUGCAUUGGUGACUGGCAGGCUUUGAGUGUGGCAGAGGGAGGUAGAAUUCCACGUGUAGCAGUGAAAUGCGUAGAGAUGUGGAGGAAUACCGAUGGCGAGGGCAGCCUCCUGGGCCAACACUGACGCUCAUGCACGAAAGCGUGGGGAGCAAACAGG